CCUACGGGUGGCAGCAGUGGGGGAUAUUGCACAAUGGGGGGAACCCUGAUGCAGCGACGCCGCGUGGGUGAAGGAGUGCUUCGGCAUGUAAAGCCCUAUCGGCAGGGAAGAAGCAAGACGGUACCUGACUAAGAAGCCCCGGCUAACUACGUGCCAGCAGCCGCGGUAAUACGUAGGGGGCGAGCGUUAUCCGGAUUCACUGGGUGUAAAGGGAGCGUAGACGGCCAUGCAAGCCAGGGGUGAAAGCCCGGGGCCCAACCCCGGGACUGCCCUUGAAACUGUGCGGCUAGAGUGCGGGAGGGGCAGGCGGAAUGCCUGGUGUAGCGGUGAAAUGCGUAGAUAUCAGGCGGAACACCGGCGGCGAAGGCGGCCUGCUGGGCCGCGACUGACGUUGAGGCUCGAAAGCGUGGGGAGCGAACAGGAUUAGAUACCCUUGUAGUC
rnacentral:rRNA from 1 species